rnacentral:misc_RNA from 1 species
AAACAAUAUAAGUUGUUAUGUUGAGUUUGAUGCCAUAGACAUUGGAUCAUCAAUGACAAAAGAAAUAGUGCAACAACAACCAAGUACACAUGCCUGAACUUGUAAGUUCUUCAUAGUAGUUAUAUGAUUGCAAAUUUAAAGAAAUCAAACCAACUAUAAUCUUGAAUAAUUCUUUUGUUCUUUUUGUUCUUUCGUACUUCCUACAGAAGUUCCUACACAGCAGUGCACGAAAUCCCUUUUAGCCUUCUAAGCAAGUUUGUCAAGCUGAAAUCUUAAGGUAAAGCAAAGAGAGCUUGAAUGAUAAUUGAACUUCAAAUUUUGCCAUUUCAUACUUCUUGGAUGCAUCCAAAGAUCCACUACUGAACAAUCCAUGAGCUACGGAAUAUUACUAAACUGGAAUAAUUGUGUUAUAUGGUAAGAUGGAUUACAAGAUUGUGCAUGCACAUCCGCCUUUGUUCAGGGAAUCGGCCUGGAGUUUACCACGGGCUUUUUCAUUCAUAGGUGGGCGUACAACAACAUGCAUAGUGAUG